GGGGUGACUAGUGACAGAGUGAGGGAGGGAGUGGGUGACUAGUGAGAGUGAGGAAGGGGGUGACACAGUGAGGAAGGGGGUGACACAGUGACAGAGUGAGGGAGGGGGUGACUAGUGACAGAGUGAAGGAGGUGGUGACUGUCACUAGUCACCCCAUCCCUCCCUCUGUCACUAAUCACCACCUCCCUCACUCUGUCACUAGUCACCCCUUCCCUCCCUCUCUCUGUCACUAGUCACCCCCUCCCUCUCUCUGUCACUAGUCACACCCUCCCUCACUCUGUCACUAGUCACACCC